GACGAACGCUGGCGGCGUGCUUAACACAUGCAAGUCGAACGGAAAGGCCCUGCUUGCGGGGUACUCGAGUGGCGAACGGGUGAGUAACACGUGGGUGAUCUGCCCUGCACUUCGGGAUAAGCCUGGGAAACUGGGUCUAAUACCGGAUAGGAGCCAUUUUUAGGGUGAUGGUUGGAAAGUUUUUUCGGGGUAGGAUGAGGUCGCGGCCUAUCUGGUUGCUGGUGGGGUAAUGGCCUACCAAGGCGGGGACGGGUAGCCGGCCUGGGGGGGUGGACGGCCACAAUGGGACUGAGAUACGGCCCAGACUCCUACGGGAGGCAGCAGUGGGGAAUAUUGCACAAUGGGCGCAAGCCUGAUGCAGCGACGCCGCGUGGGGGAUGACGGCCUUCGGGUUGUAAACUCCUUUCGCUAGGGACGAAGCUUUUUGUGACGGUACCUAGAGAAGAAGCACCGGCUAACUACGUG
rnacentral:rRNA from 1 species